UACGGGGGGGGGCAAGCGUUGUUCGGAAUUACUGGGCGUAAAGGGCUCGUAGGCGGCCAACUAAGUCAUACGUGAAAUCCCUCGGCUUAACCGGGGAACUGCGUCUGAUACUGGAUGGCUUGAGUUCGGGAGAGGGAUGCGGAAUUCCAGGUGUAGCGGUGAAAUGCGUAGAUAUCUGGAGGAACACCGGUGGCGAAGGCGGCAUCCUGGACCGACAUUGACGCUGAACGGCGAAAGCUAGGGGAGCGAAACAGG
rnacentral:rRNA from 1 species